CAGCUAUGAAAAAAUAAAACUAUCAGUCAUUGUCAAAUAUUUUAUAAAUGGAGACAGAGGAGGGGUUCAGUUCUCUGUGUAACAAGGACAGAGGAGAAAGGUCAGUGAUAUAUCAUGUGGUAUAGGAUUUCCCCUUAAGCAAUCUUCUGCUAAGACUUGCUCACAGUGUGGAAGCUUUUGUUGGUCAGGGACUCUUAAGAUUGCUCCUCAACUUAAGGCUACAAAUAUUCAAGUCUCUGCUCUGUAUGGUAUUGGAGACAGGAAAGGAUGCAUCUCAAGUGGAUCUGGGGAAAGAAUUAAUUUUUGUCACUUAUGAAAGCCAGGAACUAAUAUUCACAGUUGUUUAACUUAUGAAAAAUUAAUUAGAUGACUUAUAAAUUAUGUAUGUGGGAAAAAGAAAAUCUAUCAAUGGCUGGUUUGAGAAUUCAGAAGAGCACUUAAGUUGAUAACAAAAGAUAUUUUGUGCAGCAGGUCACGUUUGGGGUGGGCUUUUGUUCUUCCUUUGUGCCUGAAAAUGGUGAAUACUGAAUUGUUCUUAUGUAAUCCCCUGGUAGUGAGGGAACUAACCAUUUCAAUAGAGUUUAUCACUGUGUGCUUGUCUGCUGUUUGGAAGCAUAGAAGGCAAUUGACAAAAAUUGAAUAGGAAAGUCAGAGAACUGGAAAGUUUCUAGAAGAACCAGAAUGUCUGAAUACCGAACCGAUGUGCCUAGCAACACCACAUGACCUCAUAAUGAGCCCUUCUCCCAGAUCUCUUGAGAAAAAAAUAAACACAGUGACGCUAGAAGUCAAAACCACACGUGUAAUGUAAUAAGUAAACAUAUCUGAUGCCAAAAACAAGUUUAGAUUUAUAGUUAAAAAUCUCUUGUAGAGUAAUAAAACAUAUUUCCUUACAUAGUAUUGUCAACAAGCCCUCUUACUCAACUAUAGACGGCAACAGUUAAAACCAGUAAUAGACAAGAUCCACUUAACUCAAGCUGUAACUAAAACCCAUUGUUUCUUAUCGCACUUUCUUGAGGCAUUGAUGAAGACAUUUUGCAAUGACUUGAACAUUCCAUCUGCCAGACCAGAAAAGCCCUGAUAGCGACGGAAUGCCUAGAAGACCACACCCCACACAUCCCAUUCCCUGCCCUUGGUCACCACUGAACACAUACCAACCCCCACUUAUGAUCACGCCCUCUCUACCUGCCCUUUUGCACAUACCCCCCCACCCCCACCAAACCUUUCUCUAAAACUCUAGGUGUCCAUCUUGUGGGUGGUGAGAUCAGUUCUUAAGUCUUGAGCCUCCUACCUCCCCCAGCUGCUGGCACCCCAAAUAAAUUUCUCCCUUUCUCUUUUCCAAGCCUUCAUUUCUUGAAUUAUUGGCUUCUCUUACAACAAGUUUAUUUCAGUUUGUUUGGCAACAUUGUUGGCAAACCCAGCCAGGAACUAUGCUUUCAAUUUGUCUAACCCCCUCGGAAUUCCCCAGGACUUGUCCAGCCGUCUCAGGAUUCCCCAGGAUGGUGCAGUAGGCUACGGCAGCACCAAGGCUUACCUGUUCCUUUCCUCAGCUAGUGGCUAUGAUAGAUCCUUCAGUAACUGUCUGACUUUUAUUUUUUUAAGUUUAUUUAUUUAUUUCGAGAGAGAGAGAAAGAAAGUGCAAGCAGAGGAGGGGCAGAGAGAGAGGGAGACGGAGAGACUCCUAAGCAGGUUCCUUGCUGUCAGCCCAGAGCCCGAUGCAGGGCUUGAACUCAUGAAACUGUGAGAUCAUGACCUGAGCCGAAAUCAAGAGUCUGACCCUUAGUCCACUGAGCCACCCCGAUGCCCCAGUAACUGACUUUUAAAAUAAUAUCUACUAUUAUUGUAUUUUUUUCUCUUAAUUUUCUCGUCCAUACCAAGAAACAUAGGUAGUGGCAACAUCCAUGAAUGGAUGCAAAUUGGAGUACAGUGACUUUGUUAGAAAUGUUCACUGUCACUUUGCAAGAUAUAUUAUAAAUAUGACUAUUAAUUAAAGUCUUUUUUUAAAGUUCUGUAAAUGUUUUUUGGAACGAUGAAUGUGGAUAUAAUAACUAAUUAAAUAAAUAUAGUUUAAAUUCAAAAUAAUUUAUUCUAGUUUAAAUUCUAUAAUGAAAUGAAAAAUUGCAAACUGUACCUCAGAAAAUAGUAGCUAUUCUGGAUUAGUGAUAUAUUAUCUUCAGUGUUGACCUUGGUAAGUAGGAUUAGAAUCUUAAGUAUAAAGUAAAUUAUAUCUUUUGAUUGGCAUACUGUAGAUGAUUACGCGAUAAAUGAAAACAAAUCACAUUCCUGGUGCUGUCUGGGAUUUUCUACAGCUAUUUUCCUUUACUCUCUUUCUUAAUCUUUCUUGAAAAGAGAUAGGUUGCUUUCUUUAUUCAAAGAAAAUAGUUUAAUUAGCACGAAGCAACAGUGUCUACUAAAAUUGAAGGAAAUUAAUGAGUUUGGCCUGGAAUUCAAAAGAUAGCUAAAAAGAAAAUACAAAUAUAUCUAAGGGGCAGUCUAAUAAUCUAAUCUAGUUUAGCAAUGAGGUGGGCAUUUAUAAUGCCAGCUGAGUUUGGCCUCUUUCAUUUUGGGGAGGAUUGGCAAGGGUUUCCCUGUAUUAUAUCCUGCUAUACGCAACUGAUUUUCAUGGUGAUAUAUCCCUUGAGAUUUUAUCCUAAAUGUAUGGUUCCACAGAAGAAAAAAUGUGGAUAAAAAUAUUAAUUCCAGCUUUACUGUCAAUUCUAAUUCACAGUUGCCCACAUAUUGAAACUGAGUGACUAAAAGGGGUCUCAUUAUAUUCUAGGCGUUUGCAAUGUCACAUCUAGAGAGAUGAGCGCACCUGGAGACAAAUGACCAGACUACCAUAAAACAGAAGCUUAAUUAUGUUCACUUACAUUUUCAAAUUAUUCCCAACAAAUUACCUUG
rnacentral:lncRNA from 1 species